GAAAAUGAGAAUAUUGUUGGCUUGCAUCGUUCCUGCUUUUGGAGGCCACCAUUCCAUCUGCAAAUGGUAUUCUUUCUUGUCCACUUCCCCAUAAAUAUAUGCUCUGCUUCCUUUCUUGACUGGAAUUCGAAAAGAAACUGAAUAACAUUCAUAUCGUAACUGUUGCCAUUAUUGAUGCCUUUCCAUGUUUGAAUAGACCACCUUUUGACUUUGUUCCAUGAGGGAAUUUUGUCAUCCUCUGGGAAGCUAAAACCAACCAUCUGCUAAGAAACCUUUCUUCUUCGCAGAGUAUCUCCUCCUGAUUUUCUGCUCUCACAUCAGAUAUGACCCCCCAUUUUAUCUUUUGAAUGACCUCCUUAUAACUUUCCUCUCCCCUAAGCUUCAUAAACGCAGAGUUCCCCUAUUACUUAGUGACAUGUCUUAUCUCCUUAAUGAUGAAGCUUUCAAUUUUUUUGAUAGAACAGCCCAACCCUCAUUAAAGAUGUUCUCUGGUAAAAUAAAUCACCGAACGUUCAUGGCCAUUAACUAAAACGAUUGAGAUGAACCUAUCAUAUUUAUUGAACUUCAAUGAGCAAUAAAUGUAGGUAGAAAAUUCCUUGCAUCUCCAAGUCUUAAAUGACGUAUCUUCAAUGACAGACGCUUCCCCUAGCCUUUUUCAUAUCCAUGAUAUAGCAUCCCUACUCAGCUUCAUUCUCCUCACGUAUGGCUUUGCACUCUCCACCAACUCAAACAAGUUUCCUUUCGUAUUUCUAAACUCAAUAAUAUCGUAUGAUUUAACCCCAAAUCUGAAAUAUAUUUGUUAUCCAUGGGAAAGAAAGAAUAAGAAAGAAGAAAAAUAAGGGAUUGAGUUUUCUGGCAAAGGAAGUUCACCGGAUUAUGGCUUCCUAAUGACUUGAAGGGUCCCUAGAAAAUUGUCUUGGGAUAAGUGGCUGGGAGAUUUUAAAAGGAGCAUUAAAGAACUGCAAUUUUUGAAUGAUGAUAAAUGGUGUGGAGAUCUGCUUGGAAAGACCUUCGAGGAGGGAAAUAUUCAUGAUCUUGUGAAAGAAGUUCGGAUUUGCUUAAUGAAGUUUGAAUAAUGUUGUUUAGUAUUUUCUUUUUUCCAGUUUGCUGAUACAUAAAAUUAGCAGCUUUUAACCACAUUCUAGUGUAUCUUAUUAGUUCAGAUGGUUCUGUUUAUGUAUACUGCUUUGUGAUGUUACCAUGUUCAGGUCUUUUAGAUGGUAGUAGAACCAAAGCUUCUACAAACGACCAUUGUCUUGGACUAUCCUAUUGAAUUAUCUCCAUUGGAAAAACCACAUAGAAGAAGGUUACAAUCAUUUAAGUGCUUUGAAGACGACUUAAAGAAGGCUUGGAUCUCUCAUUCAUCCAAGUACGGUAGGUCCUCACUUUCAGAGGGAGAUGCCAUUAUCUAUGUAAUGGAUUUUUUCUCACUGUAAGACUAUUAUAUUCUUUCCUUUUUAUUUAGUAUGAAACGUUGUGUAGCCCGCAUGAGGCAUUCUUUGAUGUAUGGGUUAUGCCCAAGUUAUAACACUUAUUAGAUUGU